rnacentral:rRNA from 1 species
AAUUAAAUUGAUAGUUUAAUUUUAAAGUGGAUUAAUUGUUAAUAAUGAACUGUAAAGGGGGGAAAUUUACAGUUCAUUAUUUAAUAAGAAAUUCAUUAUUGUACCUUUUGUAUCAGGGUUGAUUAAAAUAAGACUUCAGAGUGCUUUCUCGAAGAAAAAAGAUUUAAGUUAAUUUUUUUAUUUUGCGUUUCAAAGUAUAAUUAAAAUUUAGCUUGGUUUCGAAAAGAAUUUAGAUUUUUUAUAUCUAGUUACUUUAUUAUUUAAUUCAAUUAAUUUAAUUUAAAGCAUAAAUUGUGUAUAUUAAAAAUUUUUGGGGGGAUAAACUUUCAAUAUAUUUUAUAGUAGGGGAGGACUAUUUAGUAUAUUUGUUUAAAAUUUUCAAAUUUUUUAGUAUGUAAUAAUUAUUUAAAUUUAAUUAAUGUUUUAUAAGCAACUUUAAAGGGGGAUUAAAGUUGUUUAAAAUUUCAAUUGAAUUAAAAUAAUAAUGAUUAAAUAAGUAGAAUGCUAAAAUAAUAAUUAAGAAUUCGGCAAAAAUAAUUUUCGGCUGUUUAUCAAAAACAUUGCUGUAAGAAAUAUAUUUUUGGUAUAACCUGCUCUAUGCUGAUGUGAAUAGCUGCAGUAUUUUAACUGUACAAAGGUAGCAUAAUCAUUAGUCUUUUAAUUGGAGGCUUGUAUGAAUGGUUGAACGUAAGAUUAUCUUUUUUAUUGUUGUGAAAUUUUAAUUUCAUUUCUAAGUUAGAAAGCUUAGUUAAUUAAAAGGGACGAGAAGACCCUGUAGAAUUUUAAAAUUUGGGUGAAUUUAAAUUUUUUGGUUGGGGUGACUAGAAAUUUAACUUUUCUUUUUUUUUUACUGGUGGGUAAGUUUAUGAUCCUAAUUUUUAGAUAAAAAGAUUUAAUUACCUUAGGGAUAACAGCAUAAUUUUUCUUAGAAGAUCUUAUUUAUAGAAAAGAUUAUGACCUCGAUGUUGAAUUAAGAUAGUGCUUAGACGGAGAAGUCUAAGGAAUUAGUCUGUUCGACUUAAAAUUUUACAUGAUUUGAGUUCAGACCGGUGUGAGCCAGGUUGGUUUCUAUCUUUUUGGGUUGAUUUUUAUUUUAGUACGAAAGGAUUAAUUAAUUCAAUUUUUAUUGUAUUUAUAGUGUUAGGAAAUAGUUGUCUG